GGUCUACUACACCUGUUGUAUUCAGCAUUUCACUGUAAGGUCUACUACACCUGUUGUAUUCAGCAUUUCACUGUAAGGUCUACUACACCUGUUGUAUUCAGCAUUUGACUGUGAUGUCUACUACACCUGUUGUAUUCAGCAUUUCACUGUAAGGUCUACUACACCUGUUGUAUUCAGCAUUUCACUGUGAUGUCUACUACACCUGUUGUAUUCAGCAUUUCACUGUAAGGUCUACUACACCUGUUGUAUUCAGCAUUUCACUGUAAGGUCUACUACACCUGUUGUAUUCAGCAUUUCACUGUAAGGUCUACU
ensembl:lncRNA